CCUACGGGUGGCAGCAGUGAGGAAUAUUGGUCAAUGGACGAGAGUCUGAACCAGCCAAGUAGCGUGAAGGAUGACUGCCCUAUGGGUUGUAAACUUCUUUUAUAUGGGAAUAAAAUGUUCCACGUGUGGGAUUUUGUAUGUACCAUAUGAAUAAGGAUCGGAUAACUCCGUGCCAGCAGCCGCGGUAAUACGGAGGAUCCGAGCGUUAUCCGGAUUUAUUGGGUUUAACGGGAGCGUAGGUGGAUUGUUAAGUCAGUUGUGAAAGUUUGCGGCUCAACCGUAAAAUUGCAGUUGAAACUGGCAGUCUUGAGUACAGUAGAGGUGGGCGGAAUGCGUGGUGUAGCGGUGAAAUGCUUAGAUAUCACGAAGAACUCCGAUUGCGAAGGCAGUUCACUGGACUGCAACUGACACUGAGGCUCGAAAGUGUGGGUAUCAAACAGGAUUAGAUACCCGAGUAGUC
rnacentral:rRNA from 1 species